UACCAGCACCCCGAGUGGUCGGGACGUUUUAUUGGGCCUAAAGCAUCCGUAGCCGGUUCUACAAGUCUUCCGUUAAACAUCCACCUGCUUAACAGAUGGGCUGCGGAAGAUACUAUGGAGCUAGGAGGCGGGAGAGGCAAGCGGUACUCGAUGGGUAGGGGUAAAAUCCGUUGAUCCAUUGAAGACCACCAGUGGCGAAGGCGGCUUGCCAGAACGCGCUCGACGGUGAGGGAUGAAAGCUGGGGGAGCAAACCGGG
rnacentral:rRNA from 1 species